rnacentral:tRNA from 1 species
GCCGCGGUAGCCCAACGGGAGAGGCAGCCGGCCCAAACCCGGCUCAGCGCGGGUUCGACCCCCGCUCGCGGUAC